GGAUCUGGCUUUUGAUACUGCUUUUACUCAGCGCAGGAGUAAUUUUCUUGAUCAUUGUUCGGGAUGAGCGUGCACCGAUCAACACCCCGGCAAGUACAGGAACGAGUACUACCACAGAAGACGACUACCUGACUAAGUCGCACGAGCUCAGCAGCGACGAAGGAACACCAACGACGACCUGAAGCAUGCAAACAACGACGAAAAGCACUCCAACAGCUACAAC